CAGAGGGUGCGAACGUUGCUCGGAAUUACUGGGCGUAAAGCGCGUGUAGGCGGGUCGGCAAGUCAGGCGUGAAAUCCCCAGGCUCAACCUGGGAACUGCGCUUGAAACUGCCGGUCUUGAGUAUCGGAGAGGGUGGCGGAAUUCCUGGUGUAGAGGUGAAAUUCGUAGAUAUCAGGAGGAACACCGGUGGCGAAGGCGGCCACCUGGACGAUUACUGACGCUGAGACGCGAAAGCGGGGGGAGCAAACAGGAUUAGAUACCCUGGUAGUCCACGCCGUAAACGAUGGGUGCUAGGUGUCUCGGGUAUUGACCCCUGAGGUGCCGUAGCUAACGCGUUAAGCACCCCGCCUGGGAAGUACGGCCGCAAGGCUAA
rnacentral:rRNA from 1 species